rnacentral:rRNA from 1 species
GACGAACGCUGGCGGCGUGCCUAAUACAUGCAAGUCGAACGCUUCUUUCCUCCCGAGUGCUUGCACUCAAUUGGAAAGCGGAGUGGCGGACGGGUGAGUAACACGUGGGUAACCUACCCAUCAGAGGGGGAUAACACUUGGAAACAGGUGCUAAUACCGCAUAACAGUUUAUGCCGCAUGGCAUAAGAGUGAAAGGCGCUUUCGGGUGUCGCUGAUGGAUGGACCCGCGGUGCAUUAGCUAGUUGGUGAGGUAACGGCUCACCAAGGCCACGAUGCAUAGCCGACCUGAGAGGGUGAUCGGCCACACUGGGACUGAGGCACGGCCCAGACUCCUACGGGAGGCAGCAGUAGGGAAUCUUCGGCAAUGGACGAAAGUCUGACCGAGCAACGCCGCGUGAGUGAAGAAGGUUUUCGGAUCGUAAAACUCUGUUGUUAGAGAAGAACAAGGACGUUAGUAACUGAACGUCCCCUGACGGUAUCUAACCAGAAAGCCACGGCUAACUACGUG